rnacentral:rRNA from 1 species
GAUGAACGCUGGCGGCGUGCCUAAUACAUGCAAGUCGAGCGAACGGACGAGAAGCUUGCUUUUCUGAUGUUAGCGGCGGACGGGUGAGUAACACGUGGAUAACCUACCUAUAAGACUGGGAUAACUUCGGGAAACCGGAGCUAAUACCGGAUAAUAUUUUGAACCGCAUGGUUCAAAAGUGAAAGACGGUCUUGCUGUCACUUAUAGAUGGAUCCGCGCUGCAUUAGCUGUUGGUAAGGUAACGGCUUACCAAGGCAACGAUGCAUAGCCGACCUGAGAGGGUGAUCGGCCACACUGGAACUGAGGCACGGUCCAGACUCCUACGGGAGGCAGCAGUAGGGAAUCUUCCGCAAUGGGCGAAAGCCUGACGGAGCAACGCCGCGUGAGUGAUGAAGGUCUUCGGAUCGUAAAACUCUGUUAUUAGGGAAGAACAUAUGUGUAAGUAACUGUGCACAUCUUGACGGUACCUAAUCAGAAAGCCACGGCUAACUACGUG